AUUGAACGCUGGCGGCACGCUUAACACAUGCAAGUCGAGCGGUAACAGAGAGAAGCUUGCUUCUCUGCUGACGAGCGGCGGACGGGUGAGUAAUGCGUGGGAAUCUGCCUUUAGGCGGGGGACAACCCGGGGAAACUCGGGCUAAUACCGCAUAAUGUCUACGGACCAAAGCCGGGGGAUCUUCGGACCUGGCACCUAAGGAUGAGCCCACGUCGAAUUAGCUUGUUGGUGAGGUAAAGGCUUACCAAGGCGACGAUUCGUAGCUGGUUUGAGAGGAUGAUCAGCCACACUGGGACUGAGACACGGCCCAGACUCC
rnacentral:rRNA from 1 species